GGGGUUGUGGCUCAGUGAUAGAGCACUUGCCCAGCAUGUGUGAGUUAUUGGGUUCGAUUCUCACUACCACA
rnacentral:tRNA from 1 species